rnacentral:sRNA from 1 species
UUUGCCCUUGACCUCCUGUUGUCUGUUAUCCGACGCUUAGCCUGACCUCUUCAUCCCGAAAACCCUGUUUUGCACAACCUUCCCAUACUUGAUAAUAUACGGCUCCAACGUCCAAUCGAUCCACGGACGUGAUCUCCUCCCAUCAUUACCUUUUUCACCCAUCAAGAUAUCCCUUGUCUCCUUACAGCACUGUUCUAGGCGUUGCUUGGUUUUCUGUUUAUCUCUGGGAUUUGUCGUUGGUUCGUACGGCGGAAGUGACGGCAACCAUUCCUCCUGUUUCAGGGCCGGGUUGGGGAAGAAGGCGCACUGAUUAGCCAAUAGCUAAAAAUAUAACCUAAUAACCUUAUGCACCACGAAACGUCACUUUGCUACCCCGCACUUUCGGCAAAGUUAUACGCGCCCUUACUACGUCACUUUGUCUCGUCCUCCAUUUACUCUUCCUCACAUUCUUUCCUCAUUCCGGAUAACACACCAUCCCGACUCCAACAUGCCCGAAGCAAAAAUGAAAGAAACAGAUGACUCACUGCUUCUUCCCCGCAAAACACUGUCAAAUCCGACUGCCUAUCCAUAAGCAACAGAUAAAACCUAUACCUCCAUUCCGCUUGCUUCCCUUCGACAUCUCCACAGUUCUCACACGGCAUUAGAUUUGAUGGGAAGCACUUUUUGCAAUUCUUGCACCAGGCAUGCACUAACAUCUCCCUCUCGCCUAUUUCCUCCCGGGAAAAGAUAUCGUCCACUUUGGCAAUCGUUCGCAGCUUGGCUGGUUCUUUGAACUCGGUUAUGUCGGAUAAUGUAGAGAGAGGAUGUUUGGUAGGGUGACGGUAGAUGGUAUGAAGCGCGCGCAAGCAAUCGACCGGUUGAACGAGGGGCGCGAUAGGGAUGAUGGUGCUUAUUGCGGUGGCGGAAGAGUCGCUGGUUGUGAAAGCGGGACGGCUAGUCUGAUUGGUAAGGGGAAUGGACGCUUGUUUCGUUUCUUGUACUUUUCCGGAGGGGACUGCAGAUGCUGGCUGCGGCUCAGGUUCCAGCUUCGCUUCCGGCUCGGACUCAAAAUAUUCGAUAUCAGUUAUAGCGGUGUCCUUUGCCCUUAACUCCUUAAUCUUCCUACUCAUCUACGGUCAGCUCAUCCUACAACACCCUGUGAGAUGCAUUGGGCGCACCUUUCAAUUUCCGUCUUGAUACCCUCAUCUAUUACCAGGCUAAUUUUCCUGUCCCUAAAGUUUUGCGUCGCUGUUCCCCUAUUCGCCCAGAAAAUCUCUAUUGAGCCAGAUUGGCGAUGCACCUUGCAGUGUAGAUUCGGGAUUUUCACGAUGUUGCCUUCUUUCAAGUGCUCAAUCCCUGCCUCGCUGCCGAAAUCGUCUAUGGCGACGCAGAAGACAGCCUCGGAUGGCAGACCAAAGGACAAACCAUGAAAGUUGUGAUUGAUAUGGCCUGCUCGGACGGGGCAUGUGCCGUCCGUAAUGUACACUUCGAGAACGGGGCCUUGCCUCGGUUCCCUGAGGUUAUCGAUUACUUUCAAAACCUUUUAAGGUAUCAGCUGGGAUACACAUCACGCUCGAACAUCAGAGCACUUACUUUAACAUUGCCAUCGAAGAAAUCCCCAACUUCGACGUUGGCAAGAUACAUGAAUUUUGCCUUCUUCCCGCUCAUCCCAUCCACAAUCUGCUUGCCCGUGCUCGAAGCUGUAUUCCAGCCCCACAAAGCCUUCAUUCUCUCCAGCUCAUCGUCGCCCAGCGGAUAUUUCCGAUAUUCCGAAGGGCUAAUCGGUUGCGGACCACCGCGCCAGAUGAAAAGUUGAUCACUAUUACUUCCACAGUUCAGUUUCGACUUAUCGUUGAAUCUGGUUGAAAAACAGUUGCGGCAUAGAACGACGUCGCCGAUUUUGAAUUUAUCCUUGAGAAAUUCGCCAUCCCGUCUGAAAAUCGCC